GAUGAACGCUAGCGGCAGGCUUAAUACAUGCAAGUCGUGGGGCAGCAGGGGUGUAGCAAUACAUCUGCUGGCGACCGGCAAACGGGUGCGUAACACGUACGCAACCUUCCCGUUACUGUGGCAUAGCCCAGGGAAACUUGGAUUAAUACCACAUAUUAUAUAGAGAGGGCAUCCUUUUUAUAUCAAAGCUUCGGCGGUAACGGAUGGGCGUGCGGUUGAUUAGGUAGUUGGCGGGGUAACGGCCCACCAAGUCUACGAUCAAUAGCUGAUGUGAGAGCAUGAUCAGCCACACGGGCACUGAGACACGGGCCCGACUCCUACGGGAGGCAGCAGUAAGGAAUAUUGGGCAAUGGACGAAAGUCUGACCCAGCCAUGCCGCGUGAAGGAUUAAGGUCCUCUGGAUUGUAAACUUCUUUUCUCUGGGGCGAAAACCAGCUAUUCUUAGCUAUUUGACAGUACCAGAGGAAUAAGCACCGGCUAACUCCGUGCCAGCCGCCGCGGUAAAAC
rnacentral:rRNA from 1 species